UACCGAGGCCUCGAGCGUUGUUCGGAAUUACUGGGCGUAAAGGGAAUGUAGGUGGUCUUGUAAGUCAGAUGUGACAGCCCUGGGCUUAACCUGGGAACUGCAUUUGAUACUGCAAGGCUUGAGUGCAGGAGAGAAGAGCGGAAUUUCUAGUGUAGGAGUGAAAUCCGUAGAUAUUAGAAGGAAUACCGAUGGCGAAGGCAGCUCUUUGGCCUGUAACUGACACUGAGAUUCGAAAGCAUGGGUAGCAAACAGG
rnacentral:rRNA from 1 species